rnacentral:rRNA from 1 species
GACGAACGCUGGCGGCGUGCUUAACACAUGCAAGUCGAGCGGAAAGGCUCCUUCGGGGGUACUCGAGCGGCGAACGGGUGAGUAACACGUGAGUAAUCUGCCCUUGGCUUCGGGAUAGCCACCGGAAACGGUGAUUAAUACCGGAUACGACAACUUCUCGCCUGGGAUGGUUGUGGAAAGUUUUUUCGGCCAGGGAUGUGCUCGCGGCCUAUCAGCUGGAUGGUGAGGUAAUGGCUCACCAUGGCUUCGACGGGUAGCCGGCCUGAGAGGGUGACCGGUCACACUGGGACUGAGACACGGCCCAGACUCCUACGGGAGGCAGCAGUGGGGAAUAUUGGACAAUGGGCGGAAGCCUGAUCCAGCAACGCCGCGUGAGGGAUGACGGCCUUCGGGUUGUAAACCUCUUUCGGUAGGGACGAAGCGCAAGUGACGGUACCUACUAAAGAAGCACCGGCCAACUACGUGCCAGCCGCCGCGGUAA